rnacentral:rRNA from 1 species
CGUGCCAGCAGCCGCGGUAAAACGUAGGGGACAAGCGUUAUCCGGAUUCACUGGCGUAAAGAGCGUUGAGGCGGUUCCGUAAGUUGGGCGUGAAAGCUCCGGGCUUNACUCGGAGAUGUCGUUCAAUACUGCGGGGCUUGAGGACAGCAGAGGAAGGUGGAAUUCCCGGUGUAGUGGUGAAAUGCGUAGAUAUCGGGAGGAACACCCGUGGCGAAGGCGGCCUUCUGGGCUGUUCCUGACGCUGAAGGCGAAAGCUGAGGGGAGCGAACGGGAUUAGAUACCCCGGUAGUCCUAGCUGUAAACGAUGGAUGCUGGGUGUGGGGGGUGUAAAUUCCCUCUGUGCCGAAGCAAACGCGUUAAGCAUCCCGCCUGGGGACUACGGCCGCAAGGCUAAAACUCAAACGAAUUGACGGGGGCCCGCACAAGCAGCGGAGCGUGUGGUUUAAUUCGAUGCUACACGAAGAACCUUACCUGGGUUUGACAUGCACGUGGUAGGGAACCGAAAGGGGACCGAUCUUCGGGAGCGUGCACAGGUGCUGCAUGGCUGUCGUCAGCUCGUGCCGUGAGGUGUCGGGUUAAGUCCCGUAACGAGCGCAACCCUUGCCCUUAGUUACAAGUGUCUAAGGGGACUGCCCGGGACAACUGGGAGGAAGGUGGGGAUGACGUCAAGUCAGCAUGGCCUUUAUAUCCAGGGCUACACACACGCUACAAUGGCCGGUACAAUAGGUUGCGAAGUCGUGAAGCGGAGCCAAUCCUCAAAGCCGGUCUCAGUUCGACUUGCAGUCUGCAACUCGACUGCAU